UACGGUAGGGGGCUAGCGUUGUCCGGAAUCGAUUGGGCGUAAAGCGCGUGUAGGCGGUCCGGUAAGUCCGCUGUGAAAGUCGGGGGGCUCAACCCUCGGAUGCCGGUGGAUACUGUCGGGCUUGAGUACGGAAGAGGCGAGUGGAAUUCCUGGUGUAGCGGUGAAAUGCGCAGAUAUCAGGAGGAACACCAAUUGCGAAGGCAGCUCGCUGGGACGUUACUGACGCUGAGACGCGAAAGCGUGGGGAGCAAACAGG
rnacentral:rRNA from 1 species